UACGGGGGGGGCAAGCGUUGUUCGGAAUUACUGGGCGUAAAGGGCUCGUAGGUGGCCAACUAAGUCAGACGUGAAAUCCCUCGGCUUAACCGGGGAACUGCGUCUGAUACUGGAUGGCUUGAGUUUGGGAGAGGGACGCGGAAUUCCAGGUGUAGCGGUGAAAUGCGCAGAUAUCGGGAGGAACACCGGUGGCGAAGGCGGUUCUCUGGGCCUUACCUGACGCUGAGGAGCGAAAGCGUGGGGAGCGAACAGG
rnacentral:rRNA from 1 species